rnacentral:rRNA from 1 species
AUACGGAGGAUGCAAGCGUUAUCCGGAUUUAUUGGGUUUAAAGGGUGCGUAGGCGGAUGAUUAAGCGUGAGGUGAAAUGCCACUGCUCAACAGUGGAACUGCCUCGCGAACUGGUUGUCUUGAAUGCUCCUGCCGUGGGAGGAAUGUGUGGUGUAGCGGUGAAAUGCAUAGAGAUCACACAGAACACCGAUUGCGAAGGCAUCUCACGAAGGGGUGAUUGACGCUGAGGCACGAAAGCGUGGGGAUCAAACAGGAUUAGAUACCCUGGUAGUCCACGCAGUAAACGAUGAUAACUAACCGCUGGGUCGUAGUGAUUCAGUGGCCAAGCGAAAGCGAUAAGUUAUCCACCUGGGGAGUACGACCGCAAGGUUGAAACUCAAAGGAAUUGACGGGG